rnacentral:rRNA from 1 species
UACGUAGGUGACAAGCGUUAUCCGGAAUUACUGGGCGUAAAGCGCACGCAGGCGGCGCAUUAAGUCUGACGUGAAAUCUCCUGGCUUAACUGGGAGGGGUCGUUGGAGACUGAUGUGCUUGAGGCGAUGAGAGGGGUGUAGAAUUCCCGGUGUAGUGGUGGAAUGCGUAGAUAUCGGGAGGAACACCGGUGGCGAAGGCGCACAUCUGGCCCGAUACUGACGCUGAAGCGCGAAAGCUAGGGGAGCAAACGGG